GGGAGAGGAGAUGUUCAAAAGGCACCGUGGCUGGAGAAAACAAGUUAACCUCUUAUUUCCACCACUUGACCACCAAAUCCUGUUGGGAGUACCUCUUUAAUUCAGAGGCAUAUGUGGAUGAGGAAGACAGACGUAAAAAGAUAAUUAUAAAUCACUGCUCAAGAAAUCUUCAUGUCUCAUCAUCUCUCAUCUGGACAACCGUAUCAAUUUCCCAGUCCCCAGUAUGCCCACAUCCUCAACUUCAAUCUAAAAUACUGACAAAAUUGUAUUUCUGAAACCCGA
rnacentral:lncRNA from 1 species